GUUUGAAAGAUCCGUCGGAUGCGGAUGGGCUCGCGAGACAUUAGCUAGUCGGCGUGGUAACGGCACACCGAGGCGACGAUGUCUAGGGGUUCUGAGAGGAAGGUCCCCCACACUGGAACUGAGACACGGUCCAGACUCCUACGGGAGGCAGCAGUGAGGAAUAUUGGUCAAUGGGCGCAAGCCUGAACCAGCCAUGCCGCGUGAAGGAUUAAGGCCCUAUGGGUCGUAAACUUCUUUUGUGGCGGAGCAAUAAGGUCUACGUGUAGGCCGAUGAGAGUACGUCACGAAUAAGCAUCGGCUAACUCCGUGCCAGCAGCCGCGGUAAUACGGAGGAUGCAAGCGUUAUCCGGAUUUAUUGGGUUUAAAGGGUGCGUAGGCUGUUCGACAAGUCAGGGGUGAAAGCCCGGCGCCUAACGCCGGAACUGCCUUUGAUACUGCCGAGCUGGAAUACGGAUGCCGUGGGAGGAAUGAGUAGUGUAGCGGUGAAAUGCAUAGAUAUUACUCAGAACACCGAUUGCGAAGGCAUCUCACGAAUCCGUCAUUGACGCUGAGGCACGAAAGCGUGGGGAUCAAACAGGAU
rnacentral:rRNA from 1 species